GAUGAACGCUAGCUACAGGCUUAACACAUGCAAGUCGAGGGGCAGCGCAGUGUAGCAAUACAUGGGCGGCGACCGGCGCACGGGUGCGUAACGCGUAUCCAACCUUCCCGUUACUCAGGGAUAGCCUUCCGAAAGGGAGAUUAAUACCUGAUGGUGUUUGAAUUCCGCAUGUUAUUCAAACUAAAGAUUUAUCGGUAACGGAUGGGGAUGCGUGACAUUAGAUAGUAGGCGGGGUAACGGCCCACCUAGUCUACGAUGUCUAGGGGUUCUGAGAGGAAGGUCCCCCACACUGGAACUGAGACACGGUCCAGACUCCUACGGGAGGCAGCAGUGAGGAAUAUUGGUCAAUGGUCGAAGACUGAACCAGCCAAGUAGCGUGAAGGAUGAAGGUUCUAUGGAUUGUAAACUUCUUUUAUACGGGAAUAAAACCUCCUACGUGUAGGAGCUUGUAUGUACCGUAUGAAUAAGCAUCGGCUAACUCCGUGCCAGCAGCCGCGGU
rnacentral:rRNA from 1 species